rnacentral:rRNA from 1 species
CACGUAGGGUGCGAGCGUUGUCCGGAAUUAUUGGGCGUAAAGAGCUCGUAGGCGGUGUGUCGCGUCGGCCGUGAAAACCUGCAGCUUAACUGUGGGCUUGCGGUCGAUACGGGCAUCACUGGAGUUCGGCAGGGGAGACUGGAAUUCCCGGUGUAGUGGUGAAAUGCGUAGAGAUCGGGAGGAACACCAGUGGCGAAGGCGGCUCGCUGGGCCGGCCCUGACGCUGAGGAGCGAAAGCAUGGGGAGCGAACAGG